GGCGAACGGGUGAGUAACACGUGGGCAAUCUGCCCUGCACUCUGGGACAAGCCCUGGAAACGGGGUCUAAUACCGGAUACAACCACUGACCGCAUGGUCGGGUGGUGGAAAGCUCCGGCGGUGCAGGAUGAGCCCGCGGCCUAUCANNUUGUUGGUGAGGUAGUGGCUCACCAAGGCGANNNCGGGUAGCCGGCCUGAGAGGGCGACCGGCCACACUGGGACUGAGACACGGCCCNNNCUCCUACGGGAGGCAGCAGUGGGGAAUAUUGCACAAUGGGCGAAAGCCUGAUGCAGCGACGCCGCGUGAGGGAUGACGGCCUUCGGGUUGUAAACCUCUUUCAGCAGGGAAGAAGCGAAAGUGACGGUACCUGC
rnacentral:rRNA from 1 species